rnacentral:rRNA from 1 species
CAUGCAAGUCGAGCGCGAAAGUCUCCUUCGGGAGGCGAGUAGAGCGGCGAACUGGUGAGUAUAAGAUGGGUAAUGUGCCCUGAUGUGGGGGAUAGCUCCGGGAAACCGGGAUUAAUACCGCAUGUCACCAUUCUUCACAAGAAGAUUGGGAAAAGGCCUUGAGUCGCAUCAGGAUCGGCCCAUCCCCCAUUAGCUUGUUGGUGAGGUCAAAGCUCACCAAGGCGACGAUGGGUAGCUGGCCUGAGAGGGUGGUCAGCCACACUGGGACUGAGAUACGGCCCAGACUCCUACGGGAGGCAGCAGUCUAGAAGCAUCCACAAUGGACGAAAGUCUGAUGGUGCGACGCCGCGUGUGGGGUAAGGCCCUUGGGUUGUAAACCACUGUCAGAAGGGAAUAAGGCUUGUAUAGCAAUAUGCAGGUUUGAAGGUACCUUCAGAGGAAGCACCGGCUAACUCCGUGCCAGCAGCCGCGGUAAUACGGAGGGUGCAAGCGUUGUUCGGAAUCAUUGGGCGUAAAGCGCGCGUAGGCGGACUGGUCAGUCUAUGGUGAAAUUUUCACGGCUCAACCGGAAAAGGCCCGUGGAUACUGCCAGUCUGGAGGACGGUAGAGGAGAGUGGAAUUCCUGGUGUAACGGUGGAAUGUGUAGAGAUCAGGAAGAACACCCGUGGCGAAGGCGACUCUCUGGACCGUUUCUGACGCUGAGGCGCGAAGGCGUGGGGAGCGAACAGGAUUAGAUACCCUGGUAGUCCACGCAGUAAACGUUGAUCACUAGGUGUAGCGGGUAUUGACCCCUGCUGUGCCGGAGUUAACGCAUUAAGUGAUCCGCCUGGGGAGUACGAUCGCAAGAUUAAAACUCAAAGGAAUUGACGGGGGCCCGCACAAGCGGUGGAGCAUGUGGUUUAAUUCGACGCAACGCGAAGAACCUUACCUGGACUUGACAUCUCGGGAAUUCCGUUGAAAGACGGGAGUGCCUUUAACGAGGAAUCCGAUGACAGGUGCUGCACGGCUGUCGUCAGCUCGUGUCGUGAGAUGUUGGGUUAAGUCCCGCAACGAGCGCAACCCCUAUCUUCAGUUACCAUCAGGUGAUGCUGGGGACUUUGGAGAUACUGCCCCGGUUAACGGGGAGGAAGGUGGGGAUGACGUCAAGUCCUCAUGGCCUUUAUGUCCAGGGCUACACACGUGCUACAAUGGUAUGUACAAAGGGAAGCGAUCCCGCGAGGAGGAGCUAAUCCCAAAAAGCAUAUCAAAGUUCGGAUCGGAGUCUGCAACUCGACUCCGUGAAGUUGGAAUCGCUAGUAAUCGCGGAUCAGCAUGCCGCGGUGAUACGUUCCCGGGCAUUGUACACACCGCCCGUCACACCAUGAGAGUUGGCUGUACCAGAAGUCGUUGGGCUAACCC